AAGGUGAUUGAGUUGCUA
rnacentral:siRNA from 1 species